rnacentral:rRNA from 1 species
GACGAACGCUGGCGGCGUGCUUAACACAUGCAAGUCGAACGGAAAGGCCCUGCUUUUGUGGGGUGCUCGAGUGGCGAACGGGUGAGUAACACGUGAGUAACCUGCCCUUGACUUUGGGAUAACUUCAGGAAACUGGGGCUAAUACCGGAUAGGAGCUCCUGCUGCAUGGUGGGGGUUGGAAAGUUUCGGCGGUUGGGGAUGGACUCGCGGCUUAUCAGCUUGUUGGUGGGGUAGUGGCUUACCAAGGCUUUGACGGGUAGCCGGCCUGAGGGGGUGACCGGCCACAUUGGGACGGAGAUCCGGCCCAGACUCCUACGGGAGGCAGCAGUGGGGAAUAUUGCACAAUGGGCGGAAGCCUGAUGCAGCAACGCCGCGUGCGGGAUGACGGCCUUCGGGUUGUAAACCGCUUUCGCCUGUGACGAAGCGUGAGUGACGGUAAUGGGUAAAGAAGCACCGGCUAACUACGUG